rnacentral:rRNA from 1 species
GAGCGGCGGACGGGUGAGUAACGCGUGGGUAACCUGCCUCAUACAGGGGGGUAACAGUUAGAAAUGACUGCUAAUACCGCAUAAGACCACGGUACCGCAUGGUACAGUGGUAAAAACUCCGGUGGUAUGAGAUGGACCCGCGUCUGAUUAGGUAGUUGGUGGGGUAACGGCCUACCAAGCCGACGAUCAGUAGCCGACCUGAGAGGGUGACCGGCCACAUUGGGACUGAGACACGGCCCAG